UCCUACGGGAGGCAGCAGUGGGGAAUUUUGGACAAUGGGGGAAACCGUAACCAGCCCUCCCACGUGUGGGAUGAAGGCUUUUUGGUUGUAAAGCACUUUUGCAGGAAAGAAAGGAACGGGUUAAUCCGUGGAGACUGACGUACGCAGAA
rnacentral:rRNA from 1 species